UGCUAUGCCAAAUAUGUGGAGCUGAUUUUUAUUAUUAUUAUUUUUUUUGUCCACAGAAGGAGUGAACCGAGCCACAGUUAUAAUUGGCUUUUAAGCAUUGAACCCAGAGGCAUCCUAGUUAUUAUUAUUUUGAAAUCCAUCCCAAACAUACCCAAAAACCCAAAAUGCUAAAUCCCUAUCAUUAAGCCUUCUAACCCUCCACACUCGAGAAUCCAAAGCUUAUUUAGCCUUUUUCAUCCGUUUCUCUCGCUUUCCAGCCGCACUCGCUCUCGCCGUUCCAAAUCUUCAUGCUACUAUGCUAAGGCUUCUCCAUCUUAUUGCUGCCUAGGCUAACUUGUCAUUCGGUUUUUUGCUCAAAUGUGGCCAUGGUCAGUGUAACGGAAUUCCAUAAUAUCACUUCUUCGUGGGUUUGGUUUCAAAAGUGUGAAUUUGGCCUUCUGCAAUCAAGAAGAAGAAAUGGAUUUACACUUCAUAUUAUAAACAUUUGGGAUGAACAUUUUAGCGACAAGAAUAUUGAUUAUGUUUUCUAUAUGGACUUUAUUGUGUUCAGGGGCAAUCAAAUUUUGAAUGGUUUAUAAGCUUGUUUAUGAUUAAUUUAUUACAAAUUUAUCAAGAUGACCUCUCCGCUAGAAGAAUGCUUGACAGAUACUAAUGCAUUUAUGGAACUUGCCUUACAGCAGGCAAAAAUAGCUUUGGAUGUCCUUGAAGUUCCUGUUGGCUGCGUGAUUGUUGAGGAUGGAAAGGUUAUAGCAUUUGGGAGGAAUCGAACUACUGAGACGCGGAAUGCCACAAGGCAUGCAGAAAUGGAAGCUAUAGAUGUUCUUCUGGAACAGUGGCAGAAAAAUGGAAUUUCAGUGUCUGAAGUAGCUACAAAAUUCUCAAGCUGUAGCCUAUAUGUUACAUGUGAACCAUGCAUAAUGUGUGCCUCAGCUUUAUCAUUUCUAGGUAUAAGGGAGGUAUAUUAUGGAUGUGCAAAUGAUAAAUUUGGAGGAUGUGGAUCAAUAUUGGCAUUACAUUCAGGCGACAGUAUAAAUAAUGAAGUGACACCAGGAAAGGGUUUCAAAUGUACGGGUGGCAUAAUGGCAUCAGAAGCAGUCCUUCUUCUGCGAACAUUUUAUGAACAAGGAAAUCCAAAUGGUUGGCAAAAACAGCUGGAACUGGCGAUUCUCUGUGCCUAUCGAAUAAAUUAUUUUCUCUUAUGAUGAUGGUGUCGAACAAGUCAUAACAUCUAUUUGUACCUGAUCUUACUUGCCGUCAAUGCACAAGGAAAAUGAGCAGCACCAUUUAACCAUUGGCUGUUUCAAAGUGAUGCAUUGACAAACAUACUGGUGUCAUAGUAAAGUGAAUAAACUAUACAACAUCUUCCUGUGGUCAUAUAUAUGUCCGCAUAAACAGCGUGUAAAGGUGGUAAGAUGUCUUGGUUUUUGCUAGGUGCAUCCUUAAGACAUCAGGUUUGCUUCAUUGUUCUUCUGGUUCGUUAGCGUGUUGGUUGUGAAUUUGAAAGCCAAUUAACAGAGCCAGAGUAUCUAUUGCAAAAAGAAACGGGGCAUCUUGCCUUGAAGGUUGGCAAAAAUAACUAGCGAUUCUCCAUGCCUAUGAAAUCGAUUUUAUACUGUUUUGGUGAUGGCCUCGAACAAGUCGCAACAUCCACCCGUGCUUAAUCUUACUCUCAAUUGUACAAGGAAAAUGAGUAGCACAGGUUAACCCAGGCUGUUUCAUAGUGAUGCAUUGACAGCCAUGUACUGAUGGCAAAAUAAAGGGACUAAAAUACAAUAAAAAGGAAAGUGAAUAAGCUGAAACCCUAGAGGAGGCACCAAACUCUCGGGCUGAGACACAUGGUGUUCAACACAAAUAUGAAAAGCCAAUUAGCAGAAUCAUCUAUUGCAAAAAUAAAUGGCGUAUCUUGCCUUGAAGGUUUGCAAAAAUAACUUAAACUAGCGAUUCUCCGUGCAUAUCAAAUUGCUCUUGCAUUGUUUUGAUGACAGCCUUGAACAAGUUGCUACAUCUAUUUGUACUUGGUCUUACUCGGUGAAUGUGUAAGGAAAAUGGGUUGCACAGUUUAGCCAUGGGCCGUUUCACAGUGAUUCCUUGACAAGCUUGUGUUGGUGGCAUAAUGAAGUGAACAAGCUUUACAACAUCUUUCCUUACUCAUCUUUAUGGCUAUAUUUUUAAUCCCCAUUGAUAGUCUUCAAAGGAUGGUAUGCUAUCUGAGUUUUGUUUACUAGGCGCAUUCUCAAGGCAUCAGGUUUGCUUUAUUGUUCUUCUGGUUCGUUAGUAUGUGUUUUUGUGGUGUUUAACUAGUUUUGGUUGUGAAUGUGAAAGCCAAUUAGCAGAGCAAGAGCAUCUAUUGCAAAGAUAAAUGAUGUAUCUUGCGUUGAAGGUUGCCAAAAUUAACUCCACUAGAGAUUCUCCGUGCCUAAUGAAUUAAUUUUAUGCUGUUUUGAUAAUGACCUCGAACAAGUCGCAACAGCUAUUUGUACUUGAUCUUACUCCCAGUAAAUGCACGUGGAAAAUGGGUAGCAAAGUUUAGCCAUGAGCUGUUAUACAGGGGUGCAUUGACAAGUAUAUCUGGUCCGGUGGCAUAAUAAAGUGAAUAAGCUAUGCAUAUUUGCUUGCUCAUCUAUAUUGCUAUGUUUUUAAUCUUCAUAGAAAGUCUGUAAAGGUGGUAAGAUGUCUAAGUUUUGCUUGGUGCAUCUUUUAAGACAUCAGGUUUGCUUUAUUGUUCUAAUUCAUUGGCAUGUGUUUGUGUAUUGUUUGACAAGUGUCAGGCGGUGAUAGUUGUAAUUUUUUUUAUUGCUUGUCACUUCAUUUUCGUGUGAUGUUCUUUUUUACCAAAAAAAGAAAGGUGUUUGGUUGUGAAUGUGAAAGCCAGUUUGCAGAGCAAGAGCAUCUAUUGCAAAAAUCAAGGGUGCAUCUUGCCUUGAGAAUUGGCGAAAAUAACUGGCGAUUCUCCGUGCCUAUCAAAUUGAUUUUAUACCAUUUUGAUGAUGGCCUUGAACAAGUCGCAACUUCUAUUUGUACUUAAUCUUACUCCCAGUAAAUAUACAAGGAAAAUGAGUAGCAGCGUAGCACAUGCUAGCCUUUGGGCUGUUUCACAUUGAUGCAUUGACAAGCAUGUACUGGUGGUAUGAUAAAGUGGGGCUUGGCUUUGCUCUGCUGACAGAAUGCACCUCUGCAAUUUCACCGCAUUAUGACAAAAAUCUGGACUGUCCAAAUAAAUUUGGAUAUUCCAGAUUUAAUGUUUUAAUUUUAAUUUUAAUUUUAUAUUUAUUAAAAUAAAAAAUUUAUAAAUCUGAUCACCAAGUUGCACAGUUUUAAUAUAAAUUGUUCGAAUUAAAUGUUAAAAUUUUUUAUGAUUUUUAUAAGCUGAUUAUUUAGGUGUACUUUGGUUAGUGUAAAUUUAAUAUUAAAAUUUUUAUAAUUUUUAUAAAUUUUUACUUUUAAUCAAGCCAUUCAUAUUUAAUCUAAAUUGUUCAGCUUGGUGAUUAAAUUUAUUAAUUGUUUUUAUAAAUUUGGAUCAUUCAUAUUAAACCUGAAGCAUCUAGACUGUUUAAUAAAUUUAUCAAAAAAAUUUAUAAAUAUGGACUAUUUAUAUUAAACCUGAAUUUUUCAGACAGGUGCUUAAAUUUAUUAAAAAUUUUAUAAAUUUUUUAUUUUGAUAAAUAUAAAAUAAAAAUUAAAGCAUUAAAUCUGGACGAUUCAGGUUUUUUUAUUUUUUAAAUGCAUCUAAGUUGCAGAGGUGUGUUGUGUCAGCAGAGCAAAGGCAGGUGCGAUAAAGUGCAGCCAACAUGCUGGAUUGUUCUUUUCUAUUUUUAACUGUUAUUUAAACAUGACUCCGGCUGCUAUACAAGCUUGAAUGUUUCAACUUUCAACUACAGAGAUGAUUAAAAGUACUAUUGAGUCAAAGCUCAUCAGAAAAAAGUUUAACUUGGUUCAAUAGUUUCGUUAGUAGAAACUGUUAAUGAAUCAGUAUAUCAUAGCAUGUAGGAUAAGUACUGUUGCUAAACUUUAUUAUUUAUUCACGUGACUGUUAAUUUUGCUUUCCUGAUCUUGUGUUUGGAAGGAAAAAACAAAAAGCAUAAUCCCAGUGUUACUGCAUGUGGUUUGAGGCUAUUUGAUAGAAUAAUUUAUACUGCUAAAAGGCUUGAAAUUGAUAGUUGACACUGGAGAAUUUUGAUUAUGGGUUGGACAUGAUCAGGGGACUAGUAGUUUUUCCCUCCCUCUUGAUUCCUAUUUAUGAUUCAUUUUUAUUUCUUCUCAGCUCCAAAGCCUCACAGGCCUCUAACUCGCCAGCCAUGAAGUUGAAAUUGAAAUGAUAAUGUUGUUAAUGCUACUGCAUACACUCGGGUUCCUUGGUGUGUGAUUGUUCAUUCACGCAGAAGAAGCAACCGAUGUAAAGAUAAAGCAUUCGCAUGAUACAGCAUAACAUUUUGGAUCAAUGAAAAAUGAAUCGAAUGUCAUUACAUGAGUGAAUGUUGCUGCAUUAGAAAUGCAAAUUUAUUGCCAAAAAGAUUUAAAGCUUUCCAGUUUCACUAAUAUUAAAAUGUUACGUGUCUUUUUUUAGUCUUCAUUUUUUUGGAGUUGUCACCAUUGCCUCUCAUGCUCGAAUGCUCAAUCUAGAUGGUUGACAUCCUUUACUGGAGGUUGUUGCAUGUGACUAUUUGUAUAAGAAAUAACAGCUAUGGUAUAAGAAAUUCACAAGUAGCAUCGAAAACAUCAACAAUUUAUAGCAUGAAGUGUCAUGUUGAAUUUGUUAA